rnacentral:rRNA from 1 species
AAUGAACGUUGGCGGCGUGGAUUAGGCAUGCAAGUCGAGCGAGAACCCAGCAAUGGGGGACAGCGGCGCAAGGGACAGUAAUGUGCAGAUUAUCUGCCCUCGGGUCCGGGAUAGCUGCGGGAAACUGCAGGUAAUACCGGAUAACAUCUCCGGAUCAAAGGUGUGAUUCCGCCCGAGGAUGAGUCUGCAUCCUAUUGGCUAGUUGGCAGGGUAAUGGCCUACCAAGGCGAUGAUGGGUAGCGGGUGUGAGAGCACGACCCGCGUCAUUGGGACUGAGACACUGCCAAGACACCUACGGGUGGCUGCAGUCGAGAAUCUUCGGCAAUGGGCGCAAGCCUGACCGAGCGACGCCGCGUGUGGGAUGAAGGCCUUCGGGUUGUAAACCACUGUCAGAGGGGAUGAAAUGCAGGUGGGUUCGCCCAUCUGUUUGACAUAGCCUCAGAGGAAGGACGGGCUAAGUUCGUGCCAGCAGCCGCCGUAACAC